GCGCUCGUAGCUCAGCUGGAUAGAGUACCUCGGUACGAACCAGGCGGUCAGAGGUUCGAAUCCUCUCGGACGCGCCA
rnacentral:tRNA from 1 species